rnacentral:rRNA from 1 species
AUGGGGCCGGUGUCAGGAGCAUCAGACAGCGUUUCAGGAGCAUCAGACAGCGUGGAAAUGAGUAGGAAAAGGAGAAAAAUCUCCUGGCCGGUGGACCUGAAGUGCGUGGUUAUUCGAGGCCGUGGAGAUUGGGCGUCAGAGCCGUGGCUCGAGACCUGCGCGAAAUUCUGGUCCGUGAUUCAAGCGUGGAAACGACUAGAACUUUUGAUAGAGGAAGUGAAUGACAGCGACAUACCUAUGGAGCCUCUUAGCCAUCCGGUUCUAUCGAUGCCGGGCGGGGAGUUGCCGGCAGCCAGUGCAACAGGUGCAGAUGCGCUCAUCUGCUCGGCGACUGCUGUGGGAACAGGCGAGGGUGCAGACCGGCCACAAGCAUCUGAACACUCAAUAGAACAAAUUAGUACAGUUGUUGAAACUGGAUUCAGCACGCGGAUGCAGGGUCCAGGUGAGAAUGUCAUUGUGCCAAAAAUAGGGAUCAGCUUCGAUACACUUGGAGAGGCAUACGAUUUUUACAAUUUGUACUCCUGGGAGAAAGGACUUGGAAUCAGAUAUGGGAAGAGCAGACUAAAUGUCAACAGGACAAAGUGCAAGAAGUGUGGUGUUGAAGGGCACCGCAGGAACAACUGCCACAAAGCGGCUGAGCUGAGGCUUAAGAUCUCUAAAGAUUGCUCUCUUGCCCGUGUCGUUCCUGUUCAGGAAGAUGCAGAUUCGGAGCCUUCGGUGAAUCAAGGAGCAGAAUCCCAGCUCAGCGAACCUGACGCUUCAAUUGUUUCUUCGGUUUCAGAGAAUGCAGGGGAAGCAGGCUUAGAGACGCAUGCCGGUGAGGUAGCAGUCAUGCACCCCGCUGUUGCAGAUGCAGUAGAGGGGUGCGGCAACCAUGAUCCCGAAGCUGGUUGGAAGAUGGUCAACACUUCAGAUGCUGAGUAG